GAUGAAGAACGCAGCGAAAUGCGAUAAGUAGUGUGAAUUGCAGAAUUCAGUGAAUCAUCGAAUCUUUGAACGCACAUUGCGCCCCUUGGUAUUCCAUGGGGCAUGCCUGUUCGAGCGUCAUUUGUACCUUCAAGCUUUGCUUGGUGUUGGGUGUUUGUCCAUUCUCUUGCAGAGGGACUCGCCUUAAAGUAAUUGGCAGCCAGUGUUUUGGUUUUGAAGCGCAGCACAAGUCGCGAUUCAAAGCUAUACGCCCGCUUCCACAAGCCUUUUUCACUUUUGACCUCGGAUCAGGUAGGGAUACCAGCUGAACUUAAGCAUAUCAAUAAGCGGAGGA
rnacentral:misc_RNA from 1 species